rnacentral:rRNA from 1 species
CCUACGGGCGGCAGCAGUGAGGAAUAUUGGUCAAUGGGCGCGAGCCUGAACCAGCCAAGUCGCGUGAGGGAAGACGGUCCUAUGGAUUGUAAACCUCUUUUGUCGGGGAGCAAAAGACGCCACGCGUGGCGUUCCGAGAGUACCCGAAGAAAAAGCAUCGGCUAACUCCGUGCCAGCAGCCGCGGUAAUACGGAGGAUGCGAGCGUUAUCCGGAUUUAUUGGGUGUAGGGGGUGCGCAGGCGGAAGAUCAAGUCAGCGGUAAAAUUGAGAGUCUAAACCGCUUCGAGCCGUUGAAACUGGUUGUCUUGAGUGAGUGAGAAGUAUGCGGAAUGCGUGGUGUAGCGGUGAAAUGCAUAGAUAUUACGCAGAACUCCGAUUGCGAAGGCAGCAUACCGGCGCUCAACUGACGCUCAUGCACGAAAGUGUGGGUAGCGAACAGGAUUAGAUACCCGAGUAGUC